rnacentral:rRNA from 1 species
UACGGGGGGGGCAAGCGUUGUUCGGAAUUACUGGGCGUAAAGGGCUCGUAGGCGGCCAACUAAGUCGGAUGUGAAAUCCCCAGGCUUAACCUGGGAACUGCAUCCGAUACUGGAUGGCUUGAAUCCGGGAGAGGGAUGCAGAAUUCCAGGUGUAGCGGUGAAAUGCGUAGAUAUCUGGAGGAAUACCGGUGGCGAAGGCGGCAUUCUGGACCGACAUUGACGCUGAGGAGCGAAAGCCAGGGGAGCAAACGGGG